AAGGACUUAAGUUAAAAAAAACUAAUAACCUUCAAAGUUAUAAUUAAGAGGAACCUUUUAGGCCUUA
rnacentral:tRNA from 1 species